rnacentral:rRNA from 1 species
CAGGCCUAACACAUGCAAGUCGAGCGGAGUCAAUUUGAAAGCUUGCUUUCAAAUUGACUUAGCGGCGGACGGGUGAGUAACACGUAGGCAACCUGCCCCUUAGCCUGGGAUAACUACCGGAAACGGUAGCUAAUACCGGAUAAUUCCUUUUGGCUCCUGCCGAAAGGAUGAAAGACGGAGCAAUCUGUCGCUGAGGGAUGGGCCUGCGGCGCAUUAGCUAGUUGGUGGGGUAACGGCCCACCAAGGCGACGAUGCGUAGCCGACCUGAGAGGGUGAACGGCCACACUGGGACUGAGACACGGCCCAGACUCCUACGGGAGGCAGCAGUAGGGAAUCUUCCGCAAUGGGCGAAAGCCUGACGGAGCAACGCCGCGUGAGUGAUGAAGGUUUUCGGAUCGUAAAGCUCUGUUGCCAGGGAAGAACG